CCUACGGGGGGCUGUAGUGGGGAAUAUUGGACAAUGGGCGAAAGCCUGAUCCAGCCAUGCCGCGUGUGUGAAGAAGGCCUUCGGGUUGUAAAGCACUUUCAGUGGGGAAGAAAGCCUUGGGGCUAAUACCCUCGAGGAAGGACAUCACCCACAGAAGAAGCACCGGCUAACUCCGUGCCAGCAGCCGCGGUAAUACGGAGGGUGCGAGCGUUAAUCGGAAUUACUGGGCGUAAAGCGCGCGUAGGCGGUCUGAUAAGCCGGUUGUGAAAGCCCCGGGCUCAACCUGGGAACGGCAUCCGGAACUGUCAGGCUAGAGUGCAGGAGAGGAAGGUAGAAUUCCCGGUGUAGCGGUGAAAUGCGUAGAGAUCGGGAGGAAUACCAGUGGCGAAGGCGGCCUUCUGGACUGACACUGACGCUGAGGUGCGAAAGCGUGGGUAGCAAACAGGAUUAAUACCCUAGUAGUC
rnacentral:rRNA from 1 species